CGGCCCGCCACGACCCCGCCGCCCGCGCUCGCAUCUCCGCCGCCGCGGCGGGGCCGCCGCUGCCGGCGCCUGAGGACUCGCGUGCGCGCGGGGCCCGCCAUGGAGGUGGAGGAGGCGUUCCAGGCUGUGGGGGAGAUGGGUAUUUACCAGAUGUACUUGUGCUUCCUGCUGGCCGUGCUGCUGCAGCUCUAUGUGGCCACGGAAGCCAUUCUCAUCGCGCUUGUGGGCGCCACACCAUCAUACCACUGGGACCUGGCCGAGCUCCUGCCCAACCAGAGCCACGGCAACCAGUCGGCUGGUGGAGACCAGGCCUUCGGGGACUGGCUGCUGACCGCCAACGGCAGCGAGAUCCACAGACACGUGCAUUUCAGCAGCAGCUUCACCUCCAUCGCCUCCGAGUGGUUUUUGAUCGCCAACAGAUCCUACAAAGUCAGCGCCGCCAGCUCCUUUUUCUUCAGUGGCGUGUUUGUUGGAGUUAUCUCCUUUGGCCAGCUUUCGGAUCGCUACGGGAGGAAGAAAGUCUAUCUCACAGGUUUUGCUCUUGACAUCUUAUUUGCUAUUGCAAAUGGAUUUUCCCCCUCAUACGAGUUCUUUGCAAUAACUCGCUUCCUGGUGGGCAUGAUGAAUGGAGGGAUGUCGCUGGUGGCCUUUGUCUUGCUAAAUGAAUGUGUGGGCACCACCUACUGGGCACUUGCAGGAUCUAUCGGCGGCCUCUUCUUCGCAGUUGGCAUCGCCCAGUACGCCCUGUUAGGAUACUUCAUCCGCUCCUGGAGGACCUUGGCCGUUCUGGUUAACCUGCAGGGAACAGUGGUCUUUCUCUUAUCUUUAUUCAUUCCUGAAUCACCUCGUUGGUUAUACUCCCAGGGUCGACUGAGUGAGGCUGAGGAGGCACUGUACCUCAUCGCCAAGAGGAACUGCAGGCUCAAGUGCUCCUUCUCACUGACACACCCAGCCAGCAGGAGCUGCAGGGAGACUGGGAGUUUUCUGGAUCUGUUCCGCUACCGGGUCCUCUUGGGACACACCCUCAUCCUGAUGUUCAUCUGGUUUGUGUGCAGCUUGGUGUAUUACGGCCUAACACUAAGUGCGGGUGAUCUUGGUGGAAGUAUUUAUGCCAACCUGGCCCUGUCUGGCCUCAUAGAGAUCCCAUCUUAUCCUCUCUGCAUCUACUUGAUAAACCAAAAGUGGUUUGGUCGGAAGAGGACGUUAGCAGCAUUUCUGUGUCUGGCAGGAUUGGCUUGUCUUAUUGUGAUGUUUCUUCCAGAAAAGAAAGACACAGGCGUGUUCGCGGUGGUGAACAGCCGUUCCUUGUCCCUGCUGGGGAAGCUGACCAUCAGCGCUGCCUUUAACAUCAUCUAUAUCUACACCUCGGAGCUCUACCCCACCGUCAUCAGGAACGUUGGGCUUGGGACUUGUUCCAUGUUCUCCCGAGUUGGUGGCAUCAUUGCUCCCUUCGUCCCCUCACUGGUUGAAAUACGUGCAGUGGUCUCUACCCUUCGUUGUCUUUGGAGCCACCGGCCUGGCCGCGGGCCUCCUGAGUUUGCUGUUGCCGGAGACGCUCAACAGUCCGUUGCUCGAGACGGUUUCUGACCUGCAGGUGUAUUCCUACCGGCGCCUGGGGGAGGAAGCGCUGUCUUUACAGACCCUGGACCUGCCACAGCCAGCAGACAAGGGCAGCACUCUGGGGAGUGAGAGUGAGGAAGAGGAAGAGUUUUACGAUGCAGAUGAGGAGACCCAGAUGAUCAAGUGAGCAGCCGUGGACUCCUCCUCCGAAGCAGAGCAUCGUCUUUCCUGCCUCUGGCCAGGGAGGGCUCUCCUUGGAGUCUGACGCUGCACAGAGACGGUGCCAAGCGGGGACAGAUGUGCAGGCACAAAGGAAGUCGGAGAAGAGAUUUCACAGGAGACAAAGUCACUGCAUGGAGGGAAUAGUUGUUAAUUUGUGCAAAACUCAAGUUCAACCCAGAAUCAUGACCUCUGGCCAAAUAACUCAAGUCGACAUUCCAGAGUGGUCGGCUGAUCCAUAUCUACAAGUGUGAUCCUGUGGCUUUUCCUUCCUUAGGAUCUAGAAGCAGUGUGUAGAAUUUCCCACCAUUUCAGUGGACUGAGAUCAGCGAUCCUUCACAUUUAACCUUCGACCAUGUUUGACAUCUGCCCAAUCCCGUGCUCCUCACCCAGCUCUUCUGGGCCCGUUGGUGUUAGCACUUCAGUUGUCUGCCCAGGAAUAAGCUCGUUUGUGUGUCCCGAAGCCCUCAGCCUGAGCUCAGCCAAUGAAAUUUGAGUCCUCAGCUUGGUCCCUAGCCUAUCGUUGCCUUGGGCUCCUUGUGCCUUUAGUGCCACACAAGACUCACUGGUAAAAGGCAGCUGUGCCAAAGCAGUGCGCCGCAAAGUCAGGUGCGGCUGGGGCCCUGUUCACUCUCCCUGCUACGUAAGUAGUGCAGUUCCUUCAGUUCCCCCUCAUGUACACCUCCAGAGAAACCCCCUUCCGAGACUUCAGUACCAGCAGUAACUUCAGCGUCAUUAGUUGCUAAUGGUUUCUCAAGGUACAGUGCCGUGGUGAACAGUUGGAUGUAAGACAGACAGAAGAAGGUGCUGUUUUGGGGGAGGAAGGAGAAUCGUCUUUCCUAACAUUUGAUUUGUUUUGCCUUCAGUACGGUGCCAGGAGAGCCUUAAGCAACACUGGAGAGCUUGAGUCUUCUUGCCCUACCUGUGAGGUCAGAAUGGAGGGCCCAGUGGUUUCCUGGGAAAUGUUGACUUUCCUUUAAGUGUUCUCCACUUCCAGAUAAAUCAGAAUCAUCCUUAGUUUCCCAAAAUCAUGUUGAAAAUACCUGUUCCCGUGUGACACUUGAAUACUGUUUCCAGUAGGAGUACAAAUCUGGAGUCCACGAGCUAGGGCCACUUUGCUUUAGGUCACUUUCCCAACGAGGAAAAUUCCUGUGCUUUCUGAAUUCCCGCUUCUGCUAAUGUCUUGGAGAGAAAGGAAGUGCAUUAGGGGUAAGGACGAGGUGUUGCUGUGGCUGCCGCUGGAGAUGCUGAGGAUGUCACCCCUGAACAGGCUGCAGAGACUGUCCUGGUCUCUCCUGCGGCGACCGCCCGGUUUGCCCUAUGUCAUCUGUCCCUUUGUACUUGCUGAAGCACUUUUGUGUACUUUAUGCCCCGGAUUAUAAAUUGGCUCUUCAUAACUGGGCCAUUUCUACUCCUGUUCAUUUCUCUCUGCUGUGCUGCCACACAGUAAGGAUCUCAUAAAUGUUACUGUUUCUCCCACCCAGAAGACUGUGGGACUUUUCCCAGUAUCAUUUUUGUAAGUGGUGGACAAAUCUGACCCAAAGUUUCAAACUGCAGAAUCCUACUUGUCUCCCUUUGGAGGCUAGACAUCAACCCCUCCUUAGUAAAAGAGAGGGAGAACUUAAACUUUUAGUUCUUCAUAAAUGAGCAACUAUUUAAAAUAAAACAGUGAAUUAA